GGUUGUUGCGGCCGAAGAAAAAUAAAAACUUCUUUCAUCUUCUUUACUUCAUCCAUUCAUCUUCGUCACUUUAUCAAUUCAUUCUUUAUUCUCACAGUCUCUUAGGACCCUUAACUGCAAAUUUAUGAACGAUGGAUUCUCAAAACAUGUCAACAACAAUGAGAAAGAAUGUGAUGAACUUGGAAUCAUAGAUACAACAGUUCAAGCAGCGGAGCGUCGAUCGUCGUCACAAUUGUUUUUUGGUUGAAAACCUAUAUCUAGGUGGAUUUGGGCUUGGUUACCAUUAUUUGAUUUGGGCUUGAUAUUUUAUUAUGACCUCUUAACUUUGUUAAAUAGGCUGUUGUUAUUGGGA